rnacentral:rRNA from 1 species
GAUGAACGCCGGCGGUGUGCCUAAUACAUGCAAGUCGUACGCACUGGCCCAACUGAUUGAUGGUGCUUGCACCUGAUUGACGAUGGAUCACCAGUGAGUGGCGGACGGGUGAGUAACACGUAGGUAACCUGCCCCGGAGCGGGGGAUAACAUUUGGAAACAGAUGCUAAUACCGCAUAACAACAAAAGCCACAUGGCUUUUGUUUAAAAGAUGGCUUUGGCUAUCACUCUGGGAUGGACCUGUGGUGCAUUAGCUAGUUGGUAAGGUAACGGCUUACCAAGGCGAUGAUGCAUAGCCGAGUUGAGAGACUGAUCGGCCACAAUGGAACUGAGACACGGUCCAUACUCCUACGGGAGGCAGCAGUAGGGAAUCUUCCACAAUGGGCGCAAGCCUGAUGGAGCAACACCGCGUGAGUGAAGAAGGGUUUCGGCUCGUAAAACUCUGUUGUUGGAGAAGAACGUGCGUGAGAGUAACUGUUCACGCAGUGACGGUAUCCAACCAGAAAGUCACGGCUAACUACGUGCCAGCAGCCGCGGUAAUACGUAGGUGGCAAGCGUUAUCCGGAUUUAUUGGGCGUAAAGCGAGCGCAGGCGGUUGCUUAGGUCUGAUGUGAAAGCCUUCGGCUUAACCGAAGAAGUGCAUCGGAAACCGGGCGACUUGAGUGCAGAAGAGGACGGUGGAACUCCAUGUGUAGCGGUGGAAUGCGUAGAUAUAUGGAAGAACACCAGUGGCGAAG